rnacentral:tRNA from 1 species
UUGGAUCACCUCCUAACAGGGAGACAAACAACGAUUUUGAUGUCUGAGUUAUUUAUUCUUAGGCCAAAAUCCUGUCACCUUAGGUCGAUCGGUACCUCAACUUUUGAGCUAAGAGAGUUCCAGCAAUGGUUGUCUGCUUAGUGGAGAUUUUUAGUUCCUAAACUUUGUCUAGUUCACAACCCAUUAGGGAUGAGACUCCUGGGCCAUUAGCUCAGGUGGUUAGAGCGCACCCCUGAUAAGGGUGAGGUCCCUGGUUCAAGUCCAGGAUGGCCCAUUCGGUGUAGGGGGUUUAGCUCAGUUGGUAGAGCGCCUGCUUUGCAAGCAGGAUGUCAGGAGUUCGAGUCUCCUAACCUCCACUGACUACCAAAAUCCCCAUCUCCAAAACCUGGAGUAUGAACUCGUAUGGAUUGUGAUUUAGAUUUGUCCGCUAGAUGACCCUAGCUUCUUGUCAUUUUAAGGCAUGGAAAUAAUUCCAUGAUUUGAUUGAUAGGAUGCUGGGCUCGAUGCAAUGUAUUGAGAGAUCAAUGCAUUGUUUUGAUGUCUAGCCGAACCUUGACAACUGCAUAGUUUAAGUCUGGAAAGAAUAAAGCAUCUUUAUGGAUGCAUCAUUUUUUUAUGUUAACGCAUAAAGGAGUGAUGUUAAUUCUAAAGCAAGAGCCGAGACUCCAGUAUGUUCUUUCAAAUGUGUCGAGCAUUUGAGAGUUUGAUUUUAAUUUCUAGUUUUAGAAUCUAUUUUUAGUAUCUAACUUUAGAAAUUAGAAAAAUCUGUUUCAACAACAGCAAGCGUACUGGAGAUACAUUGGUCAAGCUACAAAGGGCUCACGGCGGAUACCUUGGCACACAGAGGCGAUGAAGGA